rnacentral:rRNA from 1 species
GAGAAACGGCUACCACAUCCACGGAAGGCAGCAGGCGCGUAAAUUACCCAAUACCGGCUCGGUGAGGUAGUGCCAAAAAAUAACAAUAUGGGCCCUAGUGGUUUCAUAAUUGCAAUGAGAAUAUUUUAAAUACUUUAUCAAGUAUCAAUUGGAGGGCAAGUCUGGUGCCAGCAGCCGCGGUAAUUCCAGCUCCAAAAGCGUAUAUUAAAGUUGUUGCAGUUAAAAAGCUCGUAGUUGAAAUUCGGGAAUUAAAUGAAUUGAAAUCCUUGAUUGAAAUUCAUUUGUUCCUUUUAUGUCGUGUAUAUUUUUCAGGUACUUUAUUGUAUCUGAUUAAUAACCGGCUUGUUUACUUUGAAAAAAUUAGAGUGCUUAAAGCAGGCUUAUGCUUGUAUAUUGUUGCAUGGAAUAAUAAAAUAGGACUUCGGUUUUAUUUUGUUGGUUUUCGAAACUGAAGUAAUGAUUAAAAGAGACUGCCGGGGGCAUGUGUAUGCUGGUGUUAGAGGUGAAAUUCUUAGAUCAUCAGCAGACAAACUACU